rnacentral:rRNA from 1 species
GAUGAACGCUGGCGGCGUGCCUAAUACAUGCAAGUCGAGCGAACGGACGAGAAGCUUGCUUCUCUGAUGUUAGCGGCGGGCGGGUGAGUAACACGUGGAUAACCUACCUAUAAGACUGGGAUAACUUCGGGAAACCGGAGCUAAUACCGGAUGAUAUUUUGAACCGCAUGGUUCAAAAGUGAAAGACGGUCUUGCUGUCACUUAUAGAUGGAUCCGCGCUGCAUUAGCUAGUUGGUAAGGUAACGGCUUACCAAGGCAACGAUGCAUAGCCGACCUGAGAGGGUGAUCGGCCACACUGGAACUGAGACACGGUCCAGACUCCGACGGGAGGCAGCAGUAGGGAAUCUUCCGCAAUGGGCGAAAGCCUGACGGAGCAACGCCGCGUGAGUGAUGAAGGUCUUCGGAUCGUAAAACUCUGUUAUUAGGGAAGAACAUAUGUGUAAGUAACUGUGCACAUCUUGACGGUACCUAAUCAGAAAGCCACGGCUAACUACGUG